CUCCUCCCAUCCCCCGCCCUGCUGCUCCCUCGCCGUCCACGCCGUCCCUCGCCAGCCCGUCCUGCUGCUCCCUCGCCGUCAACGCCAUCGCCGACUCGCCGUUGAGCACUCAACCGGAGCAGGUCACAGGUCAGCUAUUCUCUUUCCUGGCUUCCCCUUCUCAUAUGUUCCUCUUCCUUCUCUGUCUCCUCUAUUCUUAUUCACUGAAUCUUGCUCCACUUCAAGAUUGAAGAUGAUAUGAUCUUAAUUUGUCAUGGCAUGUAUCUACUAUCUAGUUAUCUAGUAUCCACUACGUCCGUACUAUCUUAUUAUUUGUUAUGUAAUAUGUUGCAUUAUUGAACUGAUUGUGAACUUGUGGUGUUUCUGAACUUAUGUAUUAUCAAAUUAGGCAACUUAUUAUAUUAUUUCUAUUAAUAAUAAUAAUAAUAAUAAUAUAUAUAUAUAUAUAUACACACACACAUAUAUACACACACUUAUCCCGGUAUCUGGGUUUUUGGAAAACCGCGGUAUCACACGGUGUCGCGGUAUCGGUAUCCGUAUCCGUAUCGCCGUAUCCGUGCAACCUAGCACGGCGGCACGAGCAGGCGGCCGCACGCCAGCAGAAAUCCGGCGGGGGCCGAUGGCACAGCGCUCAGGCGAGCUCGCGGCGGGCGCAAGCAGGCGGCACGGCGGGCAGGCAGCGAUGUGCGCAGGAUGCAACAGGCAUGGGAGGACGAGGAGCAGGUUUUGUGUCAUGUCAACUGACGACCGGUUCUAUGCCAGAGGCAGUCCAGUAAUUUCAAAGGGUUGCUAGAGUUGGAUUUCGUCCUAGCAUUGGAUUUUGCCAUGAGUAGAACAUACAAGAUCUGAUCGAUCUAACUACGAAGCUAGAAGCUUGCGGCAUCUGGUCAUCUGGGCAGUUGAUUCAAUCAAACUUUUUGUACUGUACCUCCGUCCAAUAAAAUAUGUCUCAAUUUUGACUAAAUUUGAAUGCAUCUAUACACUAAGUCACAUAUAGAUACAUCCAAAUUUUGACAAAGUUGAGACUUUUUUGUUCGAUGGAGGAAGCAGUACAAUUAGUUUUAUUUAUCUGAAUGCUGUAGGAAAUUUUGCAAGCCGUUUUAUUUCUCAUGAGUUAUGGCUUUGCUAAUCACCAUGAAAGUUACUCCACCUCCAAGCCCCUCUCUUUCUCCUCUAGAUAUCGCUGCUUCUACGUAAACUGGUGUUUCACUGAUCACAUGAGAGAAGUGAUUCACACAUGAAACAAGCGACACUGGCAGAAACAGUAAACUAAUGUUGAUGAUAUCUUUUUCGAUGUUCAAGACAAUGCAUAUACUGACAUAGAUUUUUUGACAGUACUACCAUUUAUAAAUUUAGACAAGCAACAUCAAUAUAUUCAUGUGAAAAAAUAAUUGUUAGAACUAAGUGCUAGAAAUUAGGGAAAAAUAAUCUAAAUACACAUGUAUAAAAAAUUAAAAAUCUAGCCGCGCAGAUGCGCGGGUCACCCCGCUAGUUACAUGUAUUUAGAAGUUUUUUAGACAUAGAUAUAUCCAUGUUUGGGCAAAUUUGAGUCACUUAAUAUGAGACGGAGGGAGUAGAUCUUGUCACAAUAAAAAACAGAGUAAGUAUAUCGAUUGGAAAAGUACCAGCGAUAUGGUUGACUUUGAGCACUGACCAUCAUUAAGUCUAUUGCAAUCGAAAUCGUUCUAGUUAAGUUGGCAGUGCGCAUUGCGGUAAUCGUUGUCCAGUAUAAAUGAUUAUUCACAUACUGAAUACUCGAAGCUCUGUAAUAAUGAUCAUAAGUUACUCGUACUUUGCAGGACUUAAGGCUAGCUAGCUGCCUAGCUGGUUCCCUCAAACACUGUCAACUGGCCUGUAAUUAGCAAAGGAAAAACAGCAUCAUGGACCCAUGAUAUAUAGCUGCAGAUCUCGAGUUCUCGACUGUAGGCACGAGGAAAUUAGCAUGAUGAUUUUUUGUUUCGAGCUGUGCUAUAGGCGAGCUAACCGAUCUUGCUUGGCUUGGCCUCCACAAUGUAUGCACCCGUAGGGGUGCCAAAUAGUUAUCUGGUAUUUGGUAUCUUUAUUCAACACUGUGAGACCGAUAACAAACUCAAAAAGGUUGGCACCGGAGAAAGCGAUCCGGUUCCAAAAUUGGUUGAAGAAUAAACAAAUCGAUGGAUUGACUUCCUUCCAUCUCUCAUGAGAAGGGAGAGAGGAAAGUAGUUGUGCUGGGCUAUUUUAUUCUGAAUGGGUCCUAGUCUUUAGCAAAUUUGUCACUGACAAUACUGUGGAGAAAAUUCACAUUUGACCCCGAAUUGCAGUGACAUGACAAAUUUGACUUUGGCGCGUUUGGGAUGCCCUUUAGGCCACUAAUUGCCGUGUACGGGGAAACCCUGCCUACUCAUGGCGUGUGGGGCUCCAAAGAUGAUCCUGAGAAUUGUUUCGUGGGGAAAAAAGAAUUGGACGGCGCUCUCAGGCGGGGGCUCCGUGUGGCAGGGGACUGCUGCUCUCCCGUCGUAGCCGCCGCUGCCGCGGGAACGGAAGGACGCAGGGCUGGCACUGAAGAGGACGACGCCGGCAGGCCCCUCCGGCCCCGCUCCGACGGACUUCUCCGCCCUGCGCCGCUGCUCCAACGGGUUCCGCUGAACGAGCCGCCGCUCCGCGCCGCCUCGCCCACCUACACCAUCGCCAAGGCCGUCGCGCUUGUCUACGAUACGAGCGCGCAGCGCGACGCAUCAGGGGCUCCAAGGCCAGAUUCGCCAAGGCCAAGGUCAACUUCCCGAACGAGGAGGUCCUACCGCCGGAGGGCGGGGAUGCGGCCAUCCCAACGGCCGGCCGCGCUAUGGAGCUUCGAGGACUACAACCCCCAUCUCUCUAGAUCUGAUUAUAUAUAGUUCUCUGUGACUAGUGAUAGAAAUCAGUGUCGAACUUCCUCUCGUGUUUAAUUCGUUGAAUUCAUUUUUCGAUUUAUAACUGUGGCCGGAGUCCGAUGUGCAAUUCGCUUGUUUGGUGUAAGCAAAAUUUCAAAUUUAAUUUCUUUACACUUCUGCAACUAUUCGUCCUUUCUUUUCUGGUGUGGAACCAUCUUGUUGCUGAAUCGAAUUGCUUUCAGAAGCUGGUAUUUGCGACUGUUUACAAUGAACGACCAGAUGAUGAUGCGGAGGGAGAAAACGAAAGGGGAGAUGGGGAGCAACCGGAGGUGGGCGGAGCGAGCCGACGGAUGGAUGGGGAGCAGCUGGAGGGGGUGUCGGAGUGGCGCGGAGGGGUCUUCCGGCGCCGUUUUUCUGACCCUGCCCGCAAUCGGGAGGAAGACGAAGGGGAACGAGGAAGAGAAACGGAAUAAGUCGCUGUUGGCCGUGCGAUUUGAAUAGACGGUGGAUAAUAGGGGGCAAGGCACGCCGUCCCGACGGACUGGGGUCGACUUCCGUUCAGAUCACACGCAGAUCCCGACUUGCCCCCACAUAACCUCAACAACAAGCAACAAAUCAACGAAAAACAAAAUCAACGACGAUCGACUAUGAACCUGUUGACCUCCCUGUGCCGCCGCCACGCAGCCGCGCGGCGCCCAGACGCCGCCCUGCGCUCCGGAUCCGCGCGUGGACUGCUCUCCUUCUUCUUCCGGCCGCACUUUGCCCCGGCUCGAAGGCACCACAGCACCCGUAGCCACUCUCGGUGGCACCACGAUAACCACCCGUGGAAUUUCGCCGCGUCAACGGCGGCUCUCCUCACCGCGGGCGGCGCAGCGGCCAUCGCCGCGGGCCACGGGUCGUGCUACACCCUCGAGACGAUCCCCUACACCAACCGGACGCACCUCGUGUUCCGCACUCCCCGGCAGGAGCUCGAGCACGGCGAGUCCCGCGUCGCGUAAUUCAAGAACAAGUACGCCGGCAUCACCCUCGGCGAGAACCACCCUCACGCCGUCCGCGUCAAUCGCGUCGCAUCCAGGCUCAUCCACGCCGUCCAGCGCGACCUCGUGGACGCCAGGACGAGCCAUGGUGGUUUCAGCAGCAGGAAGCUGUGGAAGGAACGACGGCCGCCGCAGACGAGGCAUCUCGACGGGCUCGACUGGGAGCUGAUCGUUCUGGAAGAUAAGCACGUCGACAUGUGGUCUCUGCCCGCUGGCAAGAUCAUUGUGCCCACUGCAGUGCUCGAUUUUUACAACACGGACGAUGCUGAGCUUGCUUUCGCGAUUGCUCAUGAGAUUGGGCAAAUUCGUUGCAAGGCACUGGGCAGAGAGGAUCAUCUACGAGUGGCUUCCCCAACCCCUUAAGCUGCCAUUCACCCGAAGGGCGGAGAGAGAUGCCGAUCACAUUGGAAUUAUGCUGCUCGGUGCAGCUGGUUUUGAUCCUUGCGCAGCCCCACGGGCCUUGGAGAAGUUCGGAGAUAGUAAGAGAGGAUUCCUCAAUACUCAUCCUUCGUGUAAGAAAAGAUCACAGCUUCUAUCCCAAAGUAAGAUCAUGGGGGAGGCUCUGGAGUUAUACAGAGAAUUUAAUCCCGGUCAAGACAGUACUGAAGGUUCCCUCUAAGUUUUAUGUUUUGAAAUUCUAGAGAUGUAGCCUGCCUGCCUCUGCCGCCGGUGAUGCGUAUGGUCACAACAUGUCAGGUGCCACUCUGGAUUCAGUAGUAAUCUGUACUCUCUUCUAGUACGAGUUACCUAUAGCUGCGCGCAGCCUGCAUGUAGAAAGAACUUGACCAGAAUCCUUCCAAAUUAACUUCCUGCUGGUCGGAUAUUUCCAGCCGGGGGUCGGGAGUCGCCAACGAAAUCAAAGGCGGCAUAGAUUCUUUCUGCCCAAUCCAUGGUGGCGCACAAGCAAGUAGGAACCACGUACGUGGGCGGGAUGUGGCGCGCACGUGGAACUGCUCCCUCUUCCAGUCUUUAUCCCUCUGGCCGGCUCCUGUACCUAUCUUGCCCAUGGCAGUCUGGCUCACGCACCGGGCCGGGCAACGUACUACACGGUGGAAUGGAUAGAGAUAGGUUGAUUGUAGCACAUGCCCGUGCGAUAGUCAGUGGGGAGUGGGCACAUCAUCGAUAAGGCCGGGGAAGCUUUCUACUGUAUCUGGCUUGGUUUGAUUUGAGCUGAUUUGAUUCGGUUCGAUAUAUCUUCGUGGUGGUUGCAGUUGUAACCGGCCGGUUUGAUCUGUGCAUACAUCACUUUUGUCACUUUGCAUUUUAUUUUUAUUUUUGUA